rnacentral:rRNA from 1 species
GACAGAGGUGCCGAGCGUUAGGCGGAAUCACUGGGCUUAAAGCGCGUGUAGGUGGCGGCCUAAGUACCUUGUGAAAUCCUGCGGCUCAACCGCAGAACUGCUUGGUAUACUGGGUCGCUUGAGCCAUCCAGGGGCAACUGGAACAAGCGGUGGAGCGGUGAAAUGCGUAGAUAUCGCUGGAACGCCAAGGUGAAACAGGUGCUGGGAGCGCUGACACUGAGACGCGAAGCCAG